rnacentral:piRNA from 1 species
CAGAAGAUUCCGGUUUGCUGCGUUCCUCCU